CCCCCUCAAGAUGAGAUUUCCCAACUUCGGUUAUAAGAUCCCUCGAAGAUGACGAGGUUAAUAGGUUCGAGGUGGAAGCGUGGUGACACGUGGAGCUGACGAAUACUAAUCGAUCGAAGACUUAAUCAAUUUUUAAA
rnacentral:rRNA from 1 species